rnacentral:rRNA from 1 species
UCCUCAUUUAAUUAUUUGAGGUAUGGCCUGCUCAAUGCAUUGUGUAAAUAGCCGCAGUACUCUGACUGUGCAAAGGUAGCAUAAUAAAUUGGCCUUUAAUUGAGGUCUGGAAUGAAUGGUUUGACAAGGGUUUGACUGUCUUGAAAUAAUAUUUUUUGAAAUUGAAUUGUUUGUAAAAAUGCAAACAUGAUAGAGAGGGACGAGAAGACCCUAUAGAUCUUUAAAGAGUUGUUAAAAAAUUAAUUUGAUUGACUCUUUUUAUUUGGGGAAAAUCCUGAAAUAUUGACUGAGAACUUCGGUUAACUAUAAAAAUAUAAAAAUUUAGUUUAGAUCCACUUAAAGUGAAAGAAUGAAAAAGUUACCUUAGGGAUAACAGGACAAUGAUCUUUUAGGAGGUCUUAUCUUAAAAGACGUUUGUUACCUCGAUGUUGAAUUAAGUUAUCUAAUUAAAGAAGAAAUUUUUAAAGUUGGUCUGUUCGACCAUUAAAAAC